rnacentral:lncRNA from 10 species
AGGUAGACACUUAGGAGUGGAAUUGCUGAGUCAUACAGUAAUUCUAUGUUUAACAUUUUGAGGAGCUGCCAAACUGUUUCCAAAAUGGCUGCAACAUUCUAUAUUUCCAUCAGCAAGAAGGGCCCAUGUGGCAAGGAACUAAGGGCAGUCUCUGGCCAAAAGCCCACAAGUAACUGAAUUCUGCCAAUAACCAUGAGUUUGGAAGUGGAUCCUUCCCCAUUCGAGUCUCAGAUGAGUCCCCAGCCCUGGCCAACAUCUUCAUGUGCUGUGAGAGACCAUUAAGCAGAGGACCCAGCUAAGCUCUGCCCAGAUGCUCAAUCCACAGAAAAAGAUACUAAGUGUGUGUUGUUUUAAGCUGCUACAUUUGCAGUGGUUUGAUAUGCAGCAAUAGAUAACUGAUACUGCUGUUAAUUGCUUUCUAUUACAAUCAGCUGGAAUAACUGCCCUUGUGCCUACAAUCAGAGAUGUAUUUUGGGAUCAAUUCCCAGACCUGAGAUUGUUCAGUCUAAGGGUAAGGAUAUUUAAUGUGGAAAAAUAACACUAAAUUGUCCUCCAAAAAUAUUAUCAAGUGACAAUCAUGCAAACAGUAUGAAAGUUCCUACUUCUCUCCAUGUUCUUGCCAAAUGAAGUGUCAUUGAUCAUUGAAAAAAUAUCAGUUUGAGAAAAAUCAGUACUGCAUUGCUUUGAUUGCAUUUUCCUGAUCACUUAUCAGGGUGAGCAUCUUUUUAACGAAUCCCUUGGCCAUUUAUUUUCCUCUUUCUUUUGAGACUUCUCUCUUGAUAUUUUUAGCUUUUAUCCUAUUUUAAUUGGAUUUCAAUUGGAUUGAACAACUAGAAUGAUAGAAUGAUAUCUGGGGGGCACACAAUGGCCAUUGGUGAUGCUGCUGUUGAUUACCCAAAGUGCUAUCCCAUUUCUUCCUGUGUAUUUACUACUAUUUCUCUUGCAGUUAAUAAGCAAUUUAUGGGAAGAUUCUUUGAGACCAUUCAAAUAUCCUGCACCUCAUUAAAAUAUCCCCCUGGAUUUAGCAGCCUUUGAUGAUUCUUGCCUGAACAAAACUUUAUUAUGGUAGAUGUAAAAUGAAGAUUUUCAUUUCUAGCACUUCUUCCACAUUUACCAGCUACAUUCAGCCUUCUUGUGGAUAAGACUCUCCCCUUUCUCCCAAAUGUUUAUUGUUUUUAUUAGUAUGGACUCACGAUUUCCUGUUCUUCUCAAUGGCCUAUAAUUUAUUACUAUCUUUAAUUAUAUUAGUGCUCAAAUUUUCCCAGUUUGGCCAGUGGGAUCCCCUCCAAGUUGGCUAUUAUUUCCUUGUGACAUACCCACUUUUUCUUUCUUUCUCUUUCUUUUUCUUUCCUUUUAAAACUCACUUCUUUACUUCCUGCUCCAGCCCUGGAAUCAGCCAUUUCUCUGAAAAACUGUGGUUCUUUCAAGUGGACAAAGGUAUUAGAGACCAAAAUUUGGGCACAAGAUAUGCACUUUAACAAGGACCCACUUUAAGUGCAGUUUAGUGAAUUUGAAUGAAUGCAUGAACUUCUGUAACUACUACCACAAUCAAGAUAUAGAGUUUCUGUCACCUCUCAAAGCCUCCUUUUCUUGCUUGCUCAU